CACAGUCGCCUAAUGGACGGGCACCAA
rnacentral:tRNA from 1 species